CUCAGCGCCCCUUCAGCGAAGCGGCAGGAGAAACGGAGCCCCUUCCAUUUCUCCUCCCGCUUGGCUGAAGGGGCGCUGAG
rnacentral:miRNA from 1 species